UACGUAGGGUGCAAGCGUUAAUCGGAAUUACUGGGCGUAAAGCGUGCGCAGGCGGCUUUGCAAGACAGAUGUGAAAUCCCCGGGCUUAACCUGGGAACUGCAUUUGUGACUGCAUGGCUGGAGUGCGGCAGAGGGGGAUGGAAUUCCGCGUGUAGCAGUGAAAUGCGUAGAUAUGCGGAGGAACACCGAUGGCGAAGGCAGCCCCCUGGGCUAAGAUUGACGCUCAUGCACGAAAGCGUGGGGAGCAAACAGG
rnacentral:rRNA from 1 species